rnacentral:misc_RNA from 1 species
AAGGUCCGAGGAAAGGUCUACACGAGUCCACCGACGCUCAAUGGACAAGUAUUUUUCACCAAAGUGAUGAAAAGAAAAUUAAAUUUUCAAAAAUUAAAAAAGGCACUGAAGUUCAUCAACACCGUCCAUUUGACAUCAACCGCAACAACUCCAGCCAUCAUCACCGUUCAACUUCUACUAUACGACUCCGCAACACAUGCAAUCCUCUCCCUUCGGAUCCCCAAAAUUAGUUCUUUCCAGCAAACGCUAAACCUAGAUUUUCUGUGUCUGCGGUAAUAUCCUUCAACGAGAGACGACUUCCGGUCAUCUUCCCUACACGCGCCAUCAGAAAUGGCUGCCCCAACUAUCCCGAUCUCAAAUCCCCAGUCCCAAUCACAACCCCCAAUCGCCACCCCCGCCUUCCGCGCCUUCAUCUCACUCCUCUCCUCUUCGAUCCGUCAUGGUUUAUCUCAGCGCCGCCCUUGGUCGGAACUCGUUGACCGGAACUCCAUGGCCCGACCUGAUUCCCUCUCCGAAGCCGCCUCCCGGAUCCGGAAAAAUCUAUCUUAUUUUAAAGUCAAUUAUAUUACCUUUCUUGCAAUUGUACUCGCUUUCUCCCUCUUGUCUCACCCUUUCUCUCUCCUCGUCCUUCUCUGCCUCCUCGCCGCUUGGAUCUUUCUCUACCUCUUUCGACCGUCGGAUCAGCCUGUUGUCAUUUUCAGUCGAACCUUCUCAGAUCGUGAAACCCUAGGUGUGUUGGUGGUGUUGACGAUUGUGGUGGUGUUUUUGACCAGCGUUGGCUCGCUUCUGAUAUCUGCUUUGAUGGUUGGAUUGGCCAUCGUGUGUGCCCACGGUGCAUUUAGGGUUCCUGAGGAUCUGUUUCUGGAUGAUCAAGAGCCUGCAAACGCUGGAUUCCUCUCUUUCCUCGGUGGUGCCGCCUCCUCAGCUGCCGCAGCAGCAGCUCCCGCCGUUGCCUCCCGUGUGUGAGGCGGACUCCGUCAACUGUACGGCCUCCCACUUUGACUAGUGUUUUAGUAUAUUUCUUGUAAGGGGUGAAAAUUCAAAAUUUUUUUUCUGAUCUAAAAAGCAAUUGGAUUACAGUUUUGUAGAUUAUUCUAAGAUUUGAUACAAUCUUAGAUCUGAUUAAUUGAUUAUGCGUAACUUGGAAUUGAUUUUGUUAUCUGUGUGCAAGAUGUUUGAUUGAUCUGGAUAGUGCCUUAUUUGAGUAUAGUUUCUUUGGAUUUGAUUUUUGUUUUCAGGCCUUAACAAGGCCUUUUAAUGUUGAAUGAGAUUUUGCUAUGUUAGUGCAAGAGACCAUGAGGGCAGAGUUUUAACUUUAGAAUUUGGAUUAUAAUAUGGUAAUUUUGGUUUAGGUUUGUAUUUCUGUUGUGUCUAUUAAACUCUACUGAAGAUUUAUCAACUUAUGCCAACUGGGUUUGGCUCAAAUGUUACACCUUAGGUGGGUUUUUAUGGAUUUGAAGCAUAUGCUUGAUGAUAUUGAGAUAUAUUCAUCCAAUUCAAUUGUUGCAGUAGUUAUUGGGAAUAAUCUACACAAGACUAUAGUGCCUGGAUUCUAUUGUGUUGAAAUAUUGCUUGACAAGUCUAGUAGAAACUAGAGACAUAAGGAUCCAUAUCAUGAGAAACUAGACAUAUGUCAUUAUGUUGAUAAAUUCAUUGCUUGAGUUUAGGAAUGGACAUUAGAUUUAGAAGGGAAGUGCCUGCUUUCAUACUGGUUUAUGGGACUUAGCAUGUUUCAGGUGUCAUGUUUUAUGCAUUUAAAUGGUUAUUGUUUCAUGGUAAUUAAAAAGUAAUGUUGGUUGACCUAUAUUAUUUGAAGCAGCAUGUUCAUAGAAAUAUAAUUGACAAAACUUUGACAUUGUUGGAAUCCCAUAGUUAUAGGAAAUUAAUUUAGUUUCUGUAUGACUCUAGGACUAGUUAAUGUGUAUAUAAUAGCUAUGCACAAAACCUUUUUCCAUUGAGAAAUAUAUUAGAAAAUUGUCUCCAAAACCUCUGGUUUCAUCUUGCCUGGAUUCUAUUCUAUUUAUAUAAUCUCCUUUGGAAGAUAAUAUGCGCACAUCCUUAACCUGAAGAAGAUACACUAACAUUCUGUUUGCAUUGCAAUCUAAAUUGUAUGAUUUGGGCAAUGCAUGCAUUAUUGGCCAAUGGACAUUAACUUGCUUGGAACAAACACUCUUCUGGUAUAAUUUUAAUUGUGGCAUAGUCAUGGUGGCGGUAGUCUGGUAGAUGCCACAUCUUUUGGUAUGGAAUAGACCUUUACAGUUAAAUGUGGCUACAAGAGAGUGUGUGCUUGAUGAACUUCUUUUUGGUAAAUGUGGACAUCGGAAGAUAACUUCUUCUCCAACUGGGAGGAGGGUAAGUAACUCAACAUACAGGAAAGGGAGUUUUGACAGAAAGGACUGUGCCACCUGUAUUCUGCUUGAUUAACAUAUCUCCAUCUGUGAUUGAUGAACAUCGACACUACAAGUUCAUAGAUUUUGUGAUGGGAAUGGCUUAGCUUGAUGGGAAAUAGACGGCCUGAUAUCAAUAUAGAUUUAUAGUUACAUUUCUAGUACUAGAAAUUCUAUGCUUUGUUUGAUUCAUGGAAUGGAAUACAACAAUGUUGAAAUAAUUGUUCUGUGGUUUGGGUAGAAUUUUGUGUUUAACAAGUUUUAAAAAUG